CCCACGGGGGGCAGCAGUGGGGAAUAUUGGACAAUGGGCGAAAGCCUGAUCCAGCCAUGCCGCGUGUGUGAAGAAGGCCUUCGGGUUGUAAAGCACUUUCAGCGGGGAAGAAAGCCUUGGGGCUAAUACCCUCGAGGAAGGACAUCACCCACAGAAGAAGCACCGGCUAACUCCGUGCCAGCAGCCGCGGUAAUACGGAGGGUGCGAGCGUUAAUCGGAAUUACUGGGCGUAAAGCGCGCGUAGGCGGUCUGAUAAGCCGGUUGUGAAAGCCCCGGGCUCAACCUGGGAACGGCAUCCGGAACUGUCAGGCUAGAGUGCAGGAGAGGAAGGUAGAAUUCCCGGUGUAGCGGUGAAAUGCGUAGAGAUCGGGAGGAAUACCAGUGGCGAAGGCGGCCUUCUGGACUGACACUGACGCUGAGGUGCGAAAGCGUGGGUAGCAAACAGGAUUAGAUACCCUUGUAGUC
rnacentral:rRNA from 1 species